CAGUCGCCGCGGGAAUACGUAGGGUGCGAGCGUUAAUCGGAAUUACUGGGCGUAAAGCGUGCGCAGGCGGUUUGUUAAGACAGAUGUGAAAUCCCCGGGCUCAACCUGGGAACUGCAUUUGUGACUGGCAAGCUAGAGUGUGGCAGAGGGGGGUGGAAUUCCGCGUGUAGCGGUGAAAUGCGUAGAGAUCGGGAGGAACAUCAGUGGCGAAGGCGGCCAUCUGGGACAACACUGACGCUGAGGCACGAAAGCGUGGGGAGCAAACAGGAUUAGAUACCCCCGUAGUCCCUGUCUCUUAUAC
rnacentral:rRNA from 1 species